AACAAACGCUGGCGGCGUGCCUAAUACAUGCAAGUCGAACGGGGAAAGCUUUCGGGUGAGUACUAGUGGCGCACGGGUGAGAAACGCGUGGAUAAUCUGCCCUAGAGUGGGGGAUAACUAGUCGAAAGAUUAGCUAAUACCGCAUAAGACCACAGGAGCUGCGGCUCAAGGGGUCAAAGGUUUUUCGCUCUAAGAUGAGUCCGCGUAAGAUUAGCUAGUUGGUGAGGUAACGGCUCACCAAGGCGACGAUCUUUAACUGGUCUGAGAGGAUGAUCAGUCACACUGGAACUGAGACACGGUCCAGACUCCUACGGGAGGCAGCAGUAGGGAAUAUUGCACAAUGGAGGAAACUCUGAUGCAGCGACGCCGCGUGAGUAAUGAAGGCCUUCGGGUCGUAAAGCUCUGUCGCAGGGGAAUAACACAAUGAAGGUACCCUGUAAGAAAGGAUCGGCUAACUUCGUGCCAGCCGCCGCGGUAAGAC
rnacentral:rRNA from 1 species